rnacentral:rRNA from 1 species
UACGGGGGGGGCAAGCGUUGUUCGGAAUUACUGGGCGUAAAGGGCUCGUAGGUGGCCAACUAAGUCAGACGUGAAAUCCCUCGGCUUAACCGGGGAACUGCGUCUGAUACUGGAUGGCUUGAGUUCGGGAGAGGGAUGCGGAAUUCCAGGUGUAGAGGUGAAAUUCGUAGAUAUUCGGAGGAACACCAGAAGCGAAGGCGGCUCACUGGCCCGAUACUGACGCUGAGGCGCGAAAGCGUGGGGAGCAAACAGG